ACCCUGACUCUCUUUGAAAUUCACAUCUAAUGUUGAAGGUAGACUGAGAUCAAAAGGGAUCAUAUAAUUUAAGAUUAUAAGCAAACUAUAAGUGUUUCAUUAGAUGAAAUAUCUGAUGCUUAAUACAAAAAAGGCAUUUCUCUAAAUACUAUAUUUGUCCAGUAAAGACAGCAAAAUAAUUGUAGAAAUUGCAUAAAAUGCCAUAAUAUUGUAAUAUUCCAAAUCUAUUUGGAAAAUUUCUAUAAAAACAUCAUAUAAUACAGCAAUAAAAUAUUACAACUAAAAUACAUGAUCAUUGUUUACCAUGCAUUACUGUCAAUAGGACAUGCCCCUAAAGACAUCGCUAAACAUAUUUUUGUCAAAUUUUUACUGUCAGAAUGGGAAAUUAUAUUCAUUAGAAUAUACCAUUUAAAACAUCUGGUUUAUGUAAAAAUGUAAAAUAGAAGUGUAACAACAAGAACAGGAAGAAUGGUGGUCAAUAUUAAAUUAGCACACAACAGUCAUUUUCUAUUUAACGAUGUAUGACGAAUCCCCCCUUUUUAAGUUUCACUUCUGUUUAAUAGUCUAUAACUGUUCUAUAUGACCAGUUCAAUCUUUUUUCAAUCUAGUUUCAGUUCAUAGAAUUAAAAAAAAAAUGACAAGAAAGAUUGUUUCUCUGAAGUCUGUAGUAAAUGCAAUGGAUUCUCUUCACCUCUGAGACCUGCUGGCAGAUCAACAUGGACAGGUCAACAAUCUGCCUACCUAGGACCUGGAUGAAGACAAAACAAUACACGAGCAGUGUCAUUGAGAUGACAGCAAACACCAGAAGACUAAAAACAGCAGCUAGACUGAAGGAUGUUCUCCAGCUGCCACUGCUUAAUGUAUUGUGAUACACAGAUUAAUAACUGUUAAAAGUUGGAAUUGUUAGGGGUUCAUAUUUGUGACAAAAUUUACCUGAGUGUCUCUGUAUCAUUCUCAGAAGCAAUGGGUGCAGAGGGAGAAUAAGACGGGCUGACUGUUGGUAUAAUGACGGAUUUUGGCCAGAGAGGAGCUGUGUUUACUCCACUUAGAUCUACUUAUAGAAAAUAUAUUUUUAUUUUUAGAUUAAUUUGAUGAUUAUUAUUGUUCUUAUUCUUAUUAUUAAUUAGUUUACAAACUGUUACAAACUAAAAAUUACAUAAAUACAACCUCCAAAUGGGUAUGACCAGCAUAUAGUUCAUAUAAGACUGAUUAUAUGAUUACAAAAAUAUUUCUUAAAUCAUAAUUAAUAAAUAGUUCUAUUAAACUGAACA
ensembl:lncRNA